GACGAACGCUGGCGGCGUGCUUAACACAUGCAAGUCGAGCGAUGAAGCUCCUUCGGGAGUGGAUUAGCGGCGGACGGGUGAGUAACACGUGGGUAACCUGCCUCAUAGAGGGGAAUAGCCUUUCGAAAGGAAGAUUAAUACCGCAUAAGAUUGUAGUUUCGCAUGAAACAGCAAUUAAAGGAGUAAUCCGCUAUGAGAUGGACCCGCGUCGCAUUAGCUAGUUGGUGAGGUAACGGCUCACCAAGGCGACGAUGCGUAGCCGACCUGAGAGGGUGAUCGGCCACAUUGGGACUGAGACACGGCCCAGACUCCUACGGGAGGCAGCAGUGGGGAAUAUUGCACAAUGGGGGAAACCCUGAUGCAGCAACGCCGCGUGAGUGAUGACGGUCUUCGGAUUGUAAAACUCUGUCUUCAGGGACGAUAAUGACGGUACCUGAGGAGGAAGCCACGGCUAACUACGUGCCAGCAGCCGCCGCCG
rnacentral:rRNA from 1 species